rnacentral:rRNA from 1 species
CCCUUAGAUGUUCUGGGCCGCACGCGCGCUACACUGAUUCAUGCAACAAGUUUUGUCCUUGGCUGAUAGGCCUGGGUAAUCUUUGAACGUGAAUCGUGAUGGGGAUAGAUGAUUGCAAUUAUUCAUCUUCAACGAGGAAUUCCUAGUAAACGCAAGUCAUCAGCUUGCAUUGAUUACGUCCCUGCCCUUUGUACACACCGCCCGUCGCACCUACCGAUUGAAUGGUCCGGUGAAAUCUUCGGAUCUGAGAGAUGUCUGAUUAAUUUCGGACGCCUUUUGGAAAAGUUGUUUAAACCUUNCNAUUUAANGGAAGGUGAANUCGUANCA